GGGGCAUUCAUGGGGCAACAAUUUCCCAAUAAUAUGUCAUUUCCCAGACCACAAAAAGUUGACACUGUUAGUAGAGGAAUCAUUUCUGCAGAGAAGUUAAAAAAGGUUGUGUGAGACCAAACAGCUCCCGGCAUUAUCUCUCUUUUGUUGAUCAAGGUGGAGAGGGGAAUCGAUCAGAACUAGUAGAACCUCAUCUGGUAGUCCAAAUGGACACAGAGAGUUCUGUACUGUAGCAGAAAACCUGCCUCGACUAUUGUUUUGAAAAACCAAUAAAGGUGCCUUACAUCACUACUGCUUUGAUGGAUGCGAAGCUUGGCACGGAAGGCCGCAAGGAUAUUUUUGAUUGGCUAUCAAGGCAACUUAGUGGAUUAAGCAAUUUUCCUGAUGCUGUAAAUCUGAAUUAUGUAUUGUUUCAAAUUGUUAUGCGAGAUGGAUGUGACUUGUGAAUGAAAACUUAGAAUAGUAAUAUUGUGUCGAAUGUUAAUGAAUUAUGUAUUGUGUCGAAUGUUAAUGAUUCAAUUAAUU